rnacentral:lncRNA from 1 species
CUUUGGGAGAAACUUAGUUUAUAGUUUAUAGUUUAAACAAAGAUGGUAACAGCCCUUUCCCAAAGCAGACCUCCUUCUUGCCUGAGGACUAGAUUGCCUUCCAGCCAAAAUAUAAAUACGCCUUUAAUAGUAACACCUAAUUACCUAACACCAUCAAAAAUGGGGUGCUCCAUGAAGAAGCACAUAAUUCAAAUUAUUGAAGUUUAUCCCCUUCUAUCUUUAUGCUGCUUUCAUAUACUGUCUUGCUUUGAUUAUGAUAAUUCAUUAAUUAAAAUACAUCAAACAACACCUCAUUCCUGUUGAACUGCUUCAAGGACCAGAUGUUAAAAUUCUCCAAUUACAUUUUUAUUCCACUGAUAACAUGUGUCA